rnacentral:ncRNA from 1 species
GAGAAAAAAAAACAUAAGACAAACCACACUGUGCCUUUGUUUAAAAAUUUAAAUCCUUGUAUGGCUCUCAUUAUUACACUUUGAAAGCAUCCAUUAUUUCUCCAAAGAUCAGCAUGACGUGGUACCUGCCCAGGUCCCCCCACCCCCCUACUUCAUCCACCCUUUGCAUACUUUGGUCUGGCCAGUGACGAAAACCAGAGUGCAUCUCUCCAACUACACCGGCCCCAAGGAAUAUGUUCAAUUUAAACAAAAGCAACUGGUAUUGAUGUGAUGUAAUUUCUGUCCAGUCCUUUCAACGUCCGAGUGAAGAAAUUCAAUGAAGGUAAAUAAAUAACAGUGACUACAACUCUCUUAAGGUAGCCAAAUGCCUCAUCAUCUAAUUAGUCACAUACGAAUGAAGGACCAAGAUUCCAACUAUCUUAAUCAAACAAAGGCUAGAGGACAAUGAGUGUGACAGAAUGAGCUGACAAGCAGGACCCUGUUAAGGGUGACUCUACUUAUGUCUGGUGCAUGAAGAGCUAUGAAAAGCAGAGUAAACAGAAGGUCCACAGUGCCUCUCACCUCCCUCUACACCUUGGGGGCAGCAGAGUUGGGCCCAGUACACCAGACAAAAGCUAAGGAGAGAGAAAAUUCCAGUGAAGCAAAAGGAAAAAUUUCACUUUAUCUAGAUCUUCACCAGGAUUAAAGACUCUGAAAGUGGAUUCUCCCAAUCCUUUCGACCUUUUCAGUUGUUUUUUCUUUUCUUUUCUUUUUUUUCUGUCUUUUUAGGGCCACACCGGUGACAUAUGGAGGUUCCCAGGCUAGGGGCUGAAUCGGAGCCGUAGUUGCCGGCCUACACCACAGCCACAGCAACUAGGGAUCCAAGCCACAUAUGACCAACACCACAGCUCACAGCAAGGCCAGAAUCUCAACCCACUGAGUCAGGCCAGGGAUCAAACCUGUGUCCUCUUGAAUCCUAGUCAGAUUCGUUUCCACCGAGCCAUGACGGGAACUCCUUUUUUCAACUGUAUGGCUGCACCCAUGGCAUAUGGAAGCUCCUGGGUCAGAGACUGAAUCUGAGCCAUAGUUACAGCUGUGGCAAUACUGGAUCCUUUUAAUGCACACCAGGCUGGGAUCAAACCCAAGCCGCUGCAGUCAGAUGCAUAACCCACUGCGUCACAGUGGGAACUCCUUGACCUUUUUAAGUUUAAGCAAGAGGUAUCAUAAACCUACUUUAGGCAGCCAAACAUUCAGAGACCUCACUUGGCCCUUCAUGUCACUUCUUGCCAUCCUUGUAAAGAGAAUUCACCUACUACUGAAUGGUUCACUCACUAACAGAGCUGUGUUGAGAUCUGCACCCAGUGUGAGCAGGAUUUAGACCUUCAUGGGACAGGUUGGUUUCACUCUAAUAAUGAUGGGUUGUUUCAGUGCAAGAGGAAGAACCACAGCUCAGACAAUGGGGGCAUAAGCUUUCCUGAGAAGCAACUGAGUCACGGCUGACAUCAGUGAGGUUCUGACUGAAUCCUUCUAAGAUUCCCAUCUAGGCAAGACAACACAGCAGCACAGUGGCAUUUCAGGUGGCAAUGGAACCAAUAAAAAGAAACAUGGAGAAGACUUAAAUCUUUACUACUAAGUAAAAGAAGUCAUUUUAAAAAGACUACAUUCUGUAUGAUUCGACUAUAUGACAUUUUGGAAAGGGCAAAACUAUGCAGAUAAUAAAAAAAUCAGUGGUUGCCAGUAGCUGGGAGAAAGAAGGGAUGAGGAGGCCAAGCACAGAGAUUUUG